AUGUCCCUCAGCUCCGCCUCGUUGUCUCCCUUCGUCCUGGACCCCUCCCCUCUCUGGCAGCUUCCUUGUCGGCGCUCGCCGCCGCGCGCCCUGUGGCGCACUAUGCUUAGUUGGCUCGGUGCGUGCCCUGGCCACUUCCUCCCCGUGCCCCCUCGACCUCUUCCGCCCCCUGAGCUCCUCCCUGUACCUCCCCGUCGCCUUAUGCCCAGCGAGCAGGUGAGCACACGCAUAUGCGGCCAUCGCCGAGCCACGGCCACGAGUUCGCGGUCGCCCUCCAUCACCCCUCCUAUAAAUGGCCAGUCCUGA
rnacentral:rRNA from 1 species